UUUAUACAUUUUCUACAGAAAAUGCACCCCAUCAUUGCCUAUAGCCCACCCACGUGGACUGCCCAUUCUGUGAAUCAUGUUUUACAGAUGAGUUUUGGCUACUGAAAGCUUGGAGUCAAACCUGUAUGCCUCUUCCUUUGUCUGCCAAUAUAUUUUGUAUAUUAGGCCUCGGCCCUGGCUCCAAUUUAGAUUACCAUUUUUUUCCCCUACUUUGUCCCUCUCUUUGACCUUUAACUUACUUCUAUUCUUUGUGUGCAGAACUUUGUAAGCCCUGUUAGAUCCUUGCCUUGCUGCAGCAAUGUACAUAAGCAAUGUAAUAAACAGAAAGGAUGAUAUUCAGUGCCCAUAUUGAAUCAUCCUGUGUGUGUAGAAUCACAAGUGCAUUUCAUUCUAGACACAAGACAUAAUUUUGCAUAUUUCAAAAUGCAGUAAAUGAUUCCUAGAAUGCUAUUUUAGAAGCUUUCCUUAGGAAACAGCACCACGUGGCAUAACUCACCUACCCCAGUAGUGUGAUCUCCCUUUGGUCCUGUGUAGGAAGUGGGAGUUUCUCCCCUCCUCCUGUGCCAGCUACUCCGGUUUCUUUUCUCCUGAGUAAAUGUACAUUCAUCUUGCUCGAAAGUACACUCUCCAGGUGGAGGUGGAAGUUUCUCUGCAAGAAAAUAGCAGAUGUUGCAAUCACUGAGACUCUUUCAAUGACUCUGUGUUGCUAGCAGCCUACUCUGCAUAUAUGAAUGUUGUCUGGCCAUAUGCCAUGCGAUGGAGAGGCAGCCCCCACUGGUGGCCCACCUACACAGAGCCACUGCUUCCAGCUAGAGGCUGCACUCCACUGCGGGUCCUGCCACAGACAUAGAGAACAAUCAGAUAUACAGUUCUAAAAUACUGGGCUAUUUUGAGAAAAAAACUUUCUCUGACUUGUGAAUUUUUGUGAAUUUCUUUUUUUAAAGCUCUGGAAAUUAGAGGUAUAUUGCCUUUAUGAAAAUAUGGAAAAUAAUAAAAUUGCAUAAUGCAGGCACUUUCUUCAGAAAUCCUGGAUGAGUGAAGGGUAUCCUCAUAACAACUCCACAGUUGCUUUGUAGGUAGGGGAGAAUGUGAGAGUGCUAAAUGGACUCCUGGAGGCAUAGCUGUGUGGAACAAAUGACUUCAUUUCUCUGUGCCUUAGAGUUCUUAUCUCUAAUGUGGGAAUAUUGAUGGUAGUCACUUCAUGGGUCCGUGAGGGUUAAAUGAGAUGGUAUAUGUAAAGUGAUAAUUUUUAAUGUGAAGUUCUCAAUAAUUAAAUUUUAGAACUUAUUUUGCCACCCAGAAGUUUAUUUUCCUUUUCCCAAAUCCAAUGUUUAUGUCUUUGAAAGCUAUCUUCAAUAACAUUCAUAAUUAUUAGAAUGGUGCUUCCUCCCAAUUUAUUGGGGACUUCUCCUUUGACUAAACUUGGUUGUACCUCCCUAUAUCCAGAUUCUUAGCCAAAUUUUUCUAAUAAAUAGUUUGUUUCAUA
rnacentral:antisense_RNA from 1 species